CAAAGAAAGAUUAGUGUCAGCUUGCAGAACUUGCAUACAGGUGCUGCACGGCUGUCGUCAGCUCGUGUCGUGAGAUGUUGGGUUAAGUCCCGCAACGAGCGCAACCCUCGUCCUUAGUUGCUAACAGUUCGGCUGAGAACUCUAAGGAGACUGCCUACGCAAGUAGGAGGAAGGUGAGGAUGACGUCAAGUCAUCAUGGCCCUUACGUCCAGGGCUACACACGUGCUACAAUGGGGUAUACAAAGAGCAGCAAUACGGUGACGUGGAGCAAAUCUCAAAAAUGCCUCCCAGUUCGGAUUGUAGUCUGCAACUCGACUACAUGAAGUUGGAAUCGCUAGUAAUCGUAGAUCAGCUAUGCUACGGUGAAUACGA
rnacentral:rRNA from 1 species